GCCUGGCUGGCUCAGUAGGUAGAGCACGAGACUGUUGAUCUCGGGGUCGUGAGUUUGAGCCCCACAUUGGGCG